CGGGCGGAGCCGGUGGGGCCUCUCGGGUCCCGUCUCCUCUCCCAGCAACUUCGUGUGCCUCAGUUUCUCUGGGGUGCAACGGCGGUAGUCACGCCGCCCAAAGUUUUCCACUUCUUGGUCCCCGGUUUCGGCGUUCGUCUCUUUUCUUUACCCUCUCUUGUUUUCUCUAACCUGUUUUUGAGACAGGGUCUCGCGGUGUAGCUCAGGCUGGCCCGGACUUACCAGUCUGGUAGCCAAAGCUGGCGUAGAAUUCACCGGGAUCCGUCUGAGCGCCAUACCUCCCCGACCUUUUUAGUUUGCGUUCUCUGGAGAGGCCAGUUUCGGCCUCAUGGCUGCCAGAGAAUUUUCCUUGGUGCAGAGCUUCCACCUUGACCCGCAAACACGGGAACGAAGCAUGCAGGGCCUGCUCCAGCGAUCACCCGCUUUGAGAGUCAGACUCGCGCGGAUUCAGAUUUUACCUUCAGCCUCUUUGUGACCUCUGAGCAAGUUACUCCCUUCUGCAGUAUUCCCGACAGCAGAAUGGGACAAGAGCUCAUCUUUCUUAAUUUUGAAAAAAGUUUUAUGUUUGCCUGUGUGUGUGUCGGCUUGCCAAUGUGGGCUUUCUCCUUCUACCAUGGAUUUGAGGAUUGAGCUCAGGUCGUCAAGCUUUCUUUUCUACCUACUGGCUUCAACCUGCUUUAGCCCUUAGGUUCUGGAUUUGGGGAUCUUCUGUGGGGCCACACAGCCCUGGGUUCAAAUCCCAGCUCUGCCACUCGCAGACUGGCUCAAACUGACUUGAGGGCGCCAGUUGAGUUUGCCACUUCGUUGCCUGCAGCAGCCUUCCCGUCCUCGGAGCUUUCCAUGGUCCUGAAGCCAGCCGGGCGUCUUUUUAUCAGCUGUUCACAAAGCUCCCAAACAACUUCCUUUUCCUUGGGCGCACAUACCCUCUCUUCCUCCUGCUCCUCCCGCCUUCCGCACCAUUUCCUCUCUUCUCUAAGGUGAUUGGUGAACUGGGAGCAUCCCUUCCCGCUGGAGAGGGGGCCCUCCCCCAGGGUGUAAUUAGCACGGUGGACUUCAAUCUCACUAGAAGAAACUCAAGCCUUUGUCUGGAGUGGUAAAAUCUACUGUUUGACUACAGGCCAAGACACAAAGAAAAUGAAUCAGGCAGGACAAGCUCCCCUUUCCCUGAUGGGGACAGCAGCUGCCUCCUGCCCGGCCGCCAUUCUUCCGCAUCUCCCGCUCCUGGGAAGGCAAAGAGAAAUGCUAACAAACGCCCCACUGAGUGAUGUGCUGUUGGCUGGGAGUUUUCAAUUUGGCUGUAUUGAUUUAUAAGGCCUUUUCAAUUACUGAAUUCUUGUAGGUGGCAGAGCGGAGGGCCGCAGACAGGAGCACCACGCUCUAUUGAUCCCAGGUACUUCCGCAGGGGCAGCUGCAUGCCAGCUGGAGACCGAUGAGGCUUCCCACGCAACGCUUAUUAAACGGGAAUCUAGAAUUCAUUAACAUGGGAACUUGUCUGGAGAAUAUGGAGGAGGCUUGGAGGAGAACCCGGAGCGGCGGCACUUACUGGUGGCUUAAUAUAUGAAGUGAAUUGCAUUCUGGGGAAGGCCAGUUGGAAUCUUAUGAAAUUUCCUUUUCUCCUUUUAUUGUGCGGCGUGCUUGCGUGGCUUGUGGGGAAGCAUCCAUCAAAACUCAGGUGCACAGGGAGAUAGGGACUAGCAAAAGAGGGCGGAUGAGGUUAUCAGCCGGUACCGAACCUCUGACCCAAAGCACGGGCUCAACAUAAAUGAGAAGCCAUCGGCCAGCGAGGUGCUAGCAAUGGUCGUGAGAGAGCCAGGAGACUAGCAAUGGUCGUGAGAGAGCCAGCAGAGCUGUUUCUUCGCCCAGCCAGGGCUGUUCCCAGCUUAGAGAUUCAUGCCUAACCUCUCAAGUGCUUCCUGGGAGCGGCCUGUGUGUCAGGGACUGGAUUAAAGUCUCAGGGUCCUAGGACCGUCCUAACAAAUCUCUGCCACGUGAGCAAGGGGGACCAGAUUUUUCCCCAUGUAGCUCUGGAGGCCUGAAGUCCAGGAUAAAAGCAUCUUAUAGGAGCGGCACUGGGCACACAAGGACCCACCCAGCUCUGUUCAGCCUCUGCCAGCCCCUGGCUCUCCUUGGCACUCCUUGGGAGCACAUGCCUACUCUGCUUGCUGCCACGUGGCUGAUGUCCCUAGAUCUUUCCGUAUACAGAUGCCUGCCACCGAGGUUGGGACCACCUGCCCAGGAGUGUCACCACCCACAGUGGACCGGCCCCUCCCCCCAUGAUCAUCACUCAAGAAAACGUCCCACAGACUUGCCUCCAGGCCAAUCGGACAAAGGUGUUUUCUCCAUCGAAGUUCCUCUUCCCAGGUGACUCCAGCUGGUGUUAAGUCAAAAACCUGACGUUGACACCUUACCCUUCAAGUCAGCUUCGGAUCUUCCCCCUGACAGAUUCCACCUGAUCACCUCACCGCAGCUGCCUGGCUGCUAUGGCGACUGCGUGGCGGACACAGCUCACGGCUGCUGUCCGGCCCUGCCAGCGAGGAAGGCAGCGCGUGUCACCCACCACCCCAGGAAAAAGAUCAAAACUCAAAAGUGCAAGCUCAGGCUCUACCGGAUGUGUGGAUGUGUGCCGCUUUCACACCCCACCCCACCCCCCAAAUUAAGAAGUGCCAGCAAAUCGUUGUUGUCAACGGCAAACUUGAAAUGAUUUCUGUUACUUAUUAAACAAGAGUUCAGUAUGUGGCAGGAAAAAAAUUAACAACCCCCCAAAGAGUAGCCUAAACUAUCAAGGCCUUUAUUUGUUCACCAAGGUGCCUGGUAAGAGAUUACUCUAGAAGGUAGGAGUGUAACGGGUGUGUCCUAUCUCUUUGUCUUGCUGUCUUAGGAUGUAGGCAGUGACUCCCCUCAUGGUAACAAGAUGGUGGCUGCUGCUCCAACACUCUCAACCCUCGAAAGUCAGUGCUUGUUACCAGGAAGGGCAGGUGAGAGUCGGGCAGCCCUUUCUCUGCGUGUGCCUCUCUCACUGGUUCAGAUCCGAGUAAUACAUAGUGUGGCGUGAUGGCUUUAGACAGCUCUCUGUGCGUGUUUCUCUCUCUCCUUCUCUCUUUGUGCCUUCGCUCAUGUGGAGGCCAGAGGUCAGCGCUACUGUCUCUUGCCCUUCUUCUGGCCCCCAGGUUGAUUCACCCUGCUGCUGCUGCUGUUGUUAUUGAUGACGAUGACGAUGAUGAUUCCUUGGCUGACAUCACAAUCUGAAUGCCCAGGCUCCUGUUGUGCACUGAAGGCUGAUUGAGAACUCCUGGAAGCUGUGCCUGCAGAGACCGAGUCACUGCUCAGAACUGUGGUACUGUGCAGAGGUUGGAAUGUUGCAGGCCCAGGGGCUAAUCACCUUACCUUGGGCAACUUCCAGCCUCUGGAACAGCCAUUCCUUGCCCUCUUCCGUGUCAGAGCUACCAUCUGGUCACUUGGAAUCUAUUAGCUUCGUAGAGAGCUAGAGCUUCCGUUAACCCCAAAGCUAAGAAUGCCAUCAGAUAGCAUCUUGGGCCCAUAGAAAAGCUCCCCCGUCUUGCUGUACCCACCUCUCUGAUGUACCUACCAAUGUCUUUUAAACUUGCCUUGGUUUAGGACUUUCUUUGUUCUGUAAAACUACAAAAACUUCAUGGAAUUGCUUGCAUGUUAGAAUUUGGGGCAUCCCAAAUCUGUGUUUCCAGGCCAUGGUCACUCAA